AAUCUUUUGUCAUUUUCCAUUUAUGCUUACACAUGGUAUAAUAAUAAUAAUAAUAAAAGUAAUCAGCUGUAAUUUGGAUAUUCACUUCUGGUUUGGAUCAGUAUAUGGGAAACUGGUAAUCACAGCCUGAGCCUCUGAUUAAUCAGCUGAGGCAAGUGUCGGUCAGCUGUGGGAGCACAGGUGAGGGUAAUUCAGCUGUGCUCCUGGAAGGGGUGGAGCUUGACUCCGCCUGUUCCAAACUUCAUUUAAGGGCUGACCACCACUAAGGCAGCAUCUCUUUGAGAUUGCUCCUCUGUGGAGAUUGGAUAGCCAGCCUCAGCAUUUUCCAGCCAGACUGAAGGCAUCCAUAUUGGUGAGUUUUUCCUAUAGAUAACCUUUUGGAUAUCUAUCACCAUCCUUCUUGUAUUAUUACCAUCUUUUGUAUUAUUCCACCUUACAAUCAGCAUCCCAAUAAUUAGAUCUUUCUUCUGACUUUUUUGGAGAUGUUCAUAAGGCAAGAUGUGGGGAACAGGUGUCAGAUCUCAGAUUUCUUGGGCUAGAGUCAUAGAAGAGUGCUUUUCCUUCAGGUCAAAUCUUGGUCCUCUCAGGUGGUGCAGACAGAAAUUAAUGCAACAAGUGAAAUCAUCUGAAACUUUAUAAAAUCUGGUCCAAAAUGAUUUGCUCUAUUUCUGAAUCACUCAGUGACAAACCUUAAGGUAAAACUUAGUUCUGCUGCUGAAACUUCUUUAUGAAUGGUUUUCAAAACCAUGCCUUCCCUCUUUGUUUAUUAGUGCUCCUUACACAAUAUUGUACCUGGAAAUACUUUUGUUCCCA
rnacentral:lncRNA from 1 species